AACGAACGCUGGCGGCAGGCCUAACACAUGCAAGUCGAACGCCCCGCAAGGGGAGUGGCAGACGGGUGAGUAACGCGUGGGAACCUACCCAGAGGUGCGGAAUAGCCCAGGGAAACUUGGAGUAAUACCGCAUAAGCCCGAGAGGGGAAAGAUUUAUCGCCUUUGGAUGGGCCCGCGUCUGAUUAGCUAGUUGGUGAGGUAAUGGCUCACCAAGGCGACGAUCAGUAGCUGGUCUUAGAGGAUGAUCAGCCACACUGGGACUGAGNACACGGCCCAGACUCCUACGGGAGGCAGCAGUGGGGAAUAUUGGACAAUGGGCGCAAGCCUGAUCCAGCCAUGCCGCGUGAGUGACGAAGGCCUUAGGGUUGUAAAGCUCUUUUGGCGGGGACGAUAAUGACGGUACCCGCAGAAUAAGCCCCGGCUAACUUCGUG
rnacentral:rRNA from 1 species